AACGUAGGACGCAAGCGUUAUCCGGAGUUACUGGGCGUAAAGCGCGGGCAGGCGGUCUUGCCAGUCUGAUGUGAAAUCUCCUCGCUCAACGGGGAGCAGCCAUUGGAAACUACAAGACUGGAGUCUGGCAGAGGUAGGCGGAAUUCCGGGUGGAGUGGUGAAAUGCGUAGAGAUCCGGAGGAACACCAGUGGCGAAGGCGGCCUACUGGGCCAGUACUGACGCUGAGCCGCGAAAGCCAGGGGAGCGAACGGG
rnacentral:rRNA from 1 species